GCCUCAGUAGCUCAGUAGUAGAGCGUCUGCAUGGUAAGCAGAAGGCCGCGGGUGCGAUUCCCGUCUGAGGCU
rnacentral:tRNA from 2 species